CGGCAGAAUAACCCAUUCUAAGGCCGAGAGAAGAACGACUUCUGCAGUCUCUUUUCUCAGCUAGAGCUGUUCAUUUUUUUUUCAGUCGUUUUACUUGCGGAAUUAAGGCAAUGAAGGUGAUGCUCUGAUUCAUUUAUUUAACUUGAUCUUGUGCCUUGUCUGGCAAAAGAUAUGUAGCUAACUAAUUUCAAUUUGGUUCCUUGAUUUUGUUAACUGCAGCAAAAAGUCGUGAUUAGACUUUCUAUGAGUGAUGAGAAGUCCCGCAAGAAGGCCUUCAAAACUGUUGUCGGUCACGCAGGUACAGAAGAAAGUUCAAUUUUUCAAGAAUUAGAUUCCGCAAAAUACGUGAUAAAACUGAUUCUAUUACCUUAGUUCUUGAGAUUCUAAGAAAGAAUUUGGCUGAGAUUCUUAUACAGAUUCUGAUCAUCAUUCCUCUGCUUUAUCUUCAGGUGUGGAAUCUACGGCUUUGCAGGGAAAGGAAAAGGAUCAAAUAGAGGUUGUUGGAGAUGGGAUUGAUGCAGUGAAGCUUGCAACUUUGCUCAGAAAAAAUGUUGGCUAUGCAGAGCUUGUGACCGUGAGCCCAGUUGGUGAGAAGAAAGAUGGUGAUAAAAAGGAUGAUGGCAAGACAGAUCCCAGUUCUACGGAGCCACCUGUGGUUUGGUCCACUUAUCCUUAUGUUUACAGCAGCGUACCUCACCAUCUCUAUCAAGCUAGAGACCCCUAUUAUGACUCCAACUGCACCAUCAUGUAAGAAAGCAGGACACAAGAAAUUUGGGAAUUUUAGGGUGACCGAUCUUUUUCCCAGUCAUACAUGGAAAAGUGAAGUUCAGGGGUGCUGCUAAAUUUUAGGCAUGGUCCUCCAGAGAACUGGAAUAAAGAUGAGAAUUCAAUCAUAAUAAGGUGAAGGGAAGAUACUUGGGUCCGUAGGGGGAGGACUCUCUUUCCUGGGGCUGGGGCUAAUAAACCAGUUGGAGCUAUUGCCUAGGUCUAAAUUUUGGCUUGUUUCAAGUAGUUGGUUGGUUUGUAUAUUCGGUGGUUGUAUUUGAGAUCCUAGGAACAAGUGUUUCGAUAACCAAUAUUUUGUUUCCAAUCAUAAAUAUAUUUUUUAAUUCACUUUUUUAUAUCACUUUAUUAUAUUUUCAAUCCAUCUUUCGUGCUAUUUUUUUAUAUCAUAAAAAAUAUUAGUAUAAUAAUUAUUUCGAAUAAUAUUUUAAUUAAUACUUUAUCCAAAUACUAAUAUCCGUGUGGUACCAUUUUUUUUCGCCCUUGUUUUGUAAGUUUGAUUUGUUUUUGCAGAGAGAAAGUUAAAGCAUAUUAGAUUUAUUUGCGUAAUUGAAUUAAUGAGAGAGUUUUUGACAUUCCAACGAGUUGAUCCUUAAUUAAUUAAGCUUCGUUUCUCAACCAUAGAAAUCAAGAUGGUAGUUUGUAGCACAUGGUUUAUGCAAGUUAUAUUGUACUUAAAACCUUGGGAUGCAACUGAAUCGAGCUGCUCGUUUGGAGUUGAUCAAGAUGAAUUCGAGUUCAAAAAUUUUUAGUUCGUUAGCUAGCGAUCCGACUCGAGUAUAUAUAUAUUAUUUUUUAUUUUAAUAGUAAAAUUACAUAUAUAUUUUUUAAUAUUUUAUUAUUUGUUACAAAAAUUAUUAUUUUAUCUAUUUUUAAAAAUAAAAAUAAUUAUUUUUAAUUUUUUAAUUUCGAAUUUGAACUUUACAUUGAGAGCUCAUCGAACUCGAAUUAGAGUUCGAGUUUCAUAAAAUUAAAUUGAGAUUCGACUCGACUCGGCUCGUUUGCACCCCUGCUUAAAGUCACGUCAAGGGGUUAUAUCCAUUCGGUAACGAAAUACUAAACAACAAUUUAACAGUAGUAUAAUUUGAUGUAUGAUAAGAUUAUGGAUGACUAUACGAAUAUGCUUCCUUGAACCAAAAAUAAAGAGAGUAAAUUAACAAACCUGCAGCCCAAUUCUUUAUCCAUCCACUAAGAAAGAUUAGGGCCUGCCUGACUCCUCUGAUGCCAAACUAGGAAGAGUCAAGAAAUCUUGACAAUGCUUUUCUUAGAUGGCAUCCAGGGAGCCAGGCAGACCAUUUCUGCCUGCAUUUAUUUGGAUGAUGUUGGUUUAGCUGAUAUCCUUCCUCAACAUUAUUGUUUUCUGCAUCGUGCAACACGUUCUAAUGAAAAAAGUCCUAUGGCUGUUAGUUGUUACACAAUCGAUUCAUAAAAUUCUGGAAUUUUCUUAAAUUUGACGAUAAAAUGUGCACCAAAGAAUUUUUUUUUUUUGGCCUUUCUUUCUUUUAAUGUUCCUACAUCAAAGUAGUCAUCAGUUCACAUAUUUUCCAAACAUAAGGAAAUGAAAUCAGAACUUUUGAUAAGUUACAUACACAACACGACCCGAUAUAGGGUUCACGGCAUAUUUUAUCUGAUUCCAAUGAAUGAAAGGUGAGACAGUACCUUCUAAAAAGACUUUUCUUUUACUCCUCCUUUUGUGUUCGAGAGAUUACCCCAUAUAUUAUUAUUUUUCCGUGUUGAAUUUUCCUUAGUCGAAGUAGUCAGCAGUUCGUAUAUUUUCCAAACAUGAUAUAAUCAUAUACUAGCUUCGCAAAAUCGAUCCUUCUGUUCUGUGCCUGGAUUAAGAUGUUGUUGGGUUCAAUUUCCUGCGGUUUUCUUGUUAGACAAAUUUCUGGGAUUGAGCUUGAACUCAUGUUUAUUUCAAUUGUUUCGCUUUUUUUUUUUUUUUUUUUUUUUUUUCUCUGCAAUAGUUCUUUUGUGGCCAGAACAUUCAAGACAUUAAUGCUUAAAAAGAUGUAAGAGGAAAACCUCCUCAACCUACAGCAAGUCAAAUUUGGUUUCCAUUGGAGGACUGCUCCUAAAUUUCACGCGUUCACGCUUCACACACAAAGUUGACGCGGUUGGGAGAAAGGACCCCGGCUAAAGUAGAACCGAAGGGUGUCAGAAUUUUCCAACUUGAUUUAGGCUCUGUUUGGAUUCAGAUUUUUUUGAAAAAUAAUUUUUUUAUCUACAAUGGUACAGUAAUACACAAAUAAAAAUAAUUUCAAAUACAUCAUAUCUAUACAAUAUAUAAAAAAUAACUCCAAAUAUACAAAAUAAAAUUACACAACUAUCCAUCACUCUCCACCAUCACGGCCACCACCCCCACACUCACGACUCUCUCUCCGCUCAUCUUUCCUCCGUCUCUCCUCCUUUUUUCCUCUUCCUCUAUCUCUUUCUCCUUCCUCCUUUCUUCUUUCCCUUUCCCCGCCCCCCAAUUUUCUUCUUCUCGACUGAUCGCACCCUUCUUAGUCACAAUCAAAUCUGAUUGCGACUGAAGCCGUGACCAAAACGAUCGUGGUUAGAAUGGUGACUAAAGUCGCAGCCACCACUAGCGAGCAAGAGAGGGGUUUGGAGUUGGGGGGAAGGAGGGGAGGGGGAGAAGGAAGAAGGGGGAAGGAGGAGGAGGAGGAGGCAAUAGAGGGGAAGAGGAGAGGAAGAGAAAGGAGAGAGGGGGAGGAAAAGGGAGGGGAUAAUGGUGGGUUGUGUAAAAUUAAAAAAAAUUCCAAAAAAAUUAUAAAUUAUAAAAAUAUUCAAAAAUAUAUUUUAAAAAUAUCUCUAAAAAUAAUUCAAAAAACAUCUACAGUAAAAGUUUUUCAUAUACACAACUACAUUAAAGUUUUUGAAAAAUACCUCAAAAAACAGUUAAUCCAAAGAGCCGAUUGUUUCAAAAAAUUGCACAACUUUUUGUUGAAUAUUGGCCCUAACUAAAAGCCAUUUAUUAAUUUUAAAGUGUUUCUUUGUUUUUUUUUUUUGGCUUUAAUCUUCAUAAAGAAACAAGGUAGCUGAUAAUUAAGAGUCCGUGGUGUAUAUCUAAUUUUUAAUUUUUUUUUUUGUAUAGAAACAAUUAAAAUUGUCCGUUUGAAUUGCUAUUUUUUUGCAUUUUUGUAAAAAAAAAAAAAAAAAAGGGUACUGUAACGAUUUGAUGUAUGUGAAACAAAAAUGUGAUUGAAAAAUGUAUUCUUAGAUAACGUAAAAUUUUUUUGAAUAUAAAUGGCAAUCCAAACAAAAACAAAAGUACUAUUGCUUAUUCACUCGUAUUAUGAAUAUCCGUUGUUGGAGGAGAGUGAUGAUUCAACAAAUUUUCACAUAUUGCGCCCUCUUCUGCAUCCUUCUCCCCUUUUGACCCAAAACUUUUGGGUAUAAGGUUCAUCAACUCUCUCUGAUUGAGUCCCAAACCCCUCGAAAAGGCCUAACACGAUAGUCUUCUAAUUCAUUUUCACUUCUUCAGCGAGUUUGAAAUUGAUUUACAACCUGCUAUAUUUGCUAUCCCAACCGACCUUUCGCCUAAUUCGGAUUGACUUGAGUUCAAGUAACUUGAUUUACUCAAAUACUCACUACUGUAUCUCAAGUUCUAUACUGUAAAAGCCUAUUUCAACAACUUAACUAGCAUCGAAUUCUAUUCAAUAAGGAAGGUUUACUCGGUCGUCACAAAAGUCUGGACGAGUUUCUGAUGCGACCAGCCCCACUGGAAUACCGAGCCGUGUUUCAGGCUACUUGGUGCAUAUCGUCCCAAGUUCCACCUUCUAGGUGAUAGCACUGAAGAUGACCUUUUCUGGGUCUAUGGAACUGAUCAUUGACCGUCAACGGCAAUAUAAUAUUUUUUUAGACGAUAAUUAUUGUAUAAUUUAUUUUAUUUUAUAUUAAAAAGAUCGGAUGAAUCUGAAAAAAUUCAAAAAUAAUUCGAAAGACAUCGAAUCACCACAAAAUCGAAACAGAUGCACCACACAUUCAUCUAAAUUUUUAAGCAGAGCUAUAUAAUAUAAUAAUUAAAGAGAAAAGAUUUAAAUAAUUGGCUUCCCAACCCACCAAGCUUGAAUGCCAAAGGCUGGUCGUUGGCACGAUAUUGUCAUUGUGGGUCAUCUUAUUUAGUGAUGUUUCUUUGUAUCUUCUGAAGCUGUCGUCAUCUAAGCAAAGGGCCCUAUAAAUAGGUAGAGCGGCAGUUGACUAGCACGGCAGAAUAACCCAUUCUAAGGCCGAAAGAAGAACGACUUCUGCAGUCUCUUUUCUCAGCUAGAGCUGUUCAUUUUUUUUUCAGUCGUUUUACUUGCGGAAUUAAGGCAAUGAAGGUGAUGCUCUGAUUCAUUUAUUUAACUUAAUCUUGUGCCUUGUCUGGCAAAAGAUAUGUAGCUAACUAAUUUCAAUUUGGUUCCUUGAUUUUGUUACCUGCAGCAAAAAGUCGUGAUUAAACUUUCUAUGAAUGAUGAGAAGUCCCGCAAGAAGGCCUUCAAAACUGUUGUCGGUCACGCAGGUAAAGAAGAAAGUUCAAUUUUUCAAGAAUUAGAUUCCGCAAAAUACGUGAUAAAACUGAUUCUAUUACCUUAGUUCUUGAGAUUCUAAGAAAGAAUUCGGCUGAGAUUCUUAUACAGAUUCUGACCAUCAUUCCUCUGCUUUAUCUUCAGGUGUGGAAUCUACGGCUUUGCAGGGAAAGGAAAAGGAUCAAAUAGAGGUUGUUGGAGAUGGGAUUGAUGCAGUGAAGCUUGCAACUUUGCUCAGAAAAAAUGUUGGGUAUGCAGAGCUUGUGACCGUGAGCCCAGUUGGUGAGAAGAAAGAUGGUGAUAAAAAAGAAGAUGGCAAGAAAGAUCCCAGUUCUACACAGCCACCUGUGGUUUGGUCCACUCAUCCUUAUGUUUACAGCAGCGUACCUCACCAUCUCUAUCAAGUUAGAGACCCCUAUGAUGACUCCAACUGCACCAUCAUGUAAGAAUGCAGGUCACAAGAAAUUUGGGAAUUUUAGGGUUACCGAUCUUUUUCCCAGUCAUACAAGGAAAAGUGAAGUUCAGGGGUGCUGCUAAAUUUUAGGCAUGGUCCUCUAGAGAACUGGAAUGAAGAUGAGAAUUCAAUCAUAGUAAGGUGAAGGGAAGAUACUUGGGUCCGUAGGGGGAGGACUCUGUUUCUUGGUGCUAAUAAACCAGUUGGAGCUAUUGCCUAGGUCUAGAUUUUGGCUUGUUUCAUGCUUAAAAAAAAAAAAAAAAAAUAUUUUGGCUU
rnacentral:lncRNA from 1 species